ACAGAUUCGGUUACCUUGGCACCCAAAAAGCCAAGAGGAAGUUCAGCUUAAAGGUUCUGACUCCAAAGACCUUAGUGUUUCGCUGGGUGGACACGAGAGUGUUAGGGCGCACUAAGUGUAAAAUCCAACCAAGAGUGGUGUUGGUAGGUUUGCUAUGCACAUCAAGCAUUUCCCAGAGUGUUUGUCAGAUUGAUCAUCUUAUUGUGGAGUAGGAACUUUGUUUCCGAACCACGUAAAAUUCUUGUGUCGUUUACUGCUUUCAGCUAUUGUUUUCUCUGUGUUGUUUCUUCUAUCUA
rnacentral:lncRNA from 1 species